AUGUCUUCCUCCGGCUCCUCCCACCCAAACCUCAACCAGCAGGUCACGGAGAAGCUUACCCGCACGAACUAUGUGUUGUGGCGCGCCCAGAUCGCCCCGCAGCUGCGGGGCGCCGGUGUCUUCGGCUAUGCCGACGGCACCACACCAGAGCCGGCCCGACUCCUCGUCACCAAGGACAAAGACGGGAAAGAGUCAUCGACGCCCAACCCUCUCCACCCAAUUUGGGUACGGGAGGACCAGCAGGUUCUUGGUUACCUGCUCAACAAUCUGUCCAAGGAGGUCCUCGUGCAGGUGACCGCAAUCACCACGUCGCCCGCGCUCUGGGCUGCUCUGGCGGGCAUGUUCUCGUCUCAGUCGCUUAGCCGGGUGAACAAUAUUUGCACGGCCCUCAUCAACGCGCAGAAGGGGACUCAAUCCGUCUCCACCUACUUCGCCCACAUGCGCGGCCUCGCGGACGAACUCGCCGCGGCCGGCAAGCCUCUGCCAGAUGACGCGCUUGUCUCCUACAUUCUCCAUGGGCUGGACAUGGACUACCAGCCCCUGGUGUCUGCCCUCGACGCCCGCACCACGCCGGUCUCCAUCGAUGAGCUCUUCUCCAUGAUGAGCAACUUUGAUCAGCAUGUGGCGCUCUUCCAGUCCUCGGGCGGCUUCAAGUCGUCUGCCAACGCCGCCUACCGCGGCCGUGGCGGCGGCUCCUCUCAUCACUGCGGACCACCUCGCAACAAGGGCAAGGCCUCUGGCGGGGGCAACGGCAACAACACCACUCGCGGCGGCGGCAGACGGCCCUCUUCUGGCAACAACAGGGGCCGCCGCGGCGGCUCCACCAGAUCACGCCCGGAUGCACCUCGCUGCCAAAUCUGUGGUAAGCUAGGGCAUACGGCCAAAGACUGCUGGUACCGCUACGACGACGAUGGCGACUCCUCCCAAGAUGAAGACAAAGUUGUUGCUGCUGCGGAUGGCUCCUAUGGGAUCGACACCAACUGGUACGUCGAUAGUGGUGCCACCAACCACAUCACCAAUGAACUUGAGAAGGUGACCAUGAAGGAGAAAUACCGCGGCAAGGACCAAAUCCACACAGCUAGUGGUGAAGGAUCAGGCCACGAGGAGAAUUCUCUAUCGCGGUAG
rnacentral:rRNA from 1 species